CCGCGGUAAUUCCAGCUCCAGUAGUGUAUCCUAAAGUUGCUGCGGUUAAAACGCUCGUAGUUGGAUUACGGGGUAGUUUUCUUCGGUCUGCUAUCGAUAAUGGUGUGUGUGUGAGUGGUGAUCUUGCGAUUGCUGAUUGCAUAUAUGCUUGGUGGUGGACUCUGAUAGAAGACUACCACUUGUAUCGUGAGGAUGGUGGUUGGCCUUUACUGUGUUGCCCACUGUGUCUUGCGGAGUGUGCCUUGAAUAAAUCAGAGUGCUCAAAGCAGGCGUAUUGCUUGAAUGUUAAUAGCAUGGAACGAACAAUUGUGAUAUGUGUUGUUGGGAUGAAAAGAGUGGUUUAUUUCGUUCAAUUUGUCUCAAUAAUACAGCACCAACCACGAUGCGUAAGUUGGUUUACGUGAUCGGGUGAUGAUUAAGAGGAGUCAUUGGGGGUAUUGGUAUUUGGCCGCGAGAGGUGAAAUUAA
rnacentral:rRNA from 1 species